GGCCUAAUAUUUUAUGCCCCUAAAAUUAAUAUUGAAAUUUCUAAAAUGUUGAAAAAUAUGUCAUCUGGAUUCUGUACAAAAAAUAUAAUCCCCUUUUUCAUUUCUGCAUUUGCAAUUCCUGCAUUUUCUUUAUUCCUACAUUUUUUAAUUGGAAGGAAUUUCAUUCGCAGAGCCCUCUAAUUUAUUCUUACAAAUCAUGUAGUAAUGUACCAUUUUAGAUAGAUAUAAAUAACACAUUUUGUAAUUUUUCUAAACUGUGGUUAUACAGCAUGAUAUAAUAGCUACACAGGGUAUGGCGAAACAGUAUACAGCAAUAUCUGUCGCACUGUCUGAGAUGGGUGGUAGUCAUACAUAGCUUAAUGCUUAAAUUUGUUAUGUGUUAUUUAUUUAUUCAUGUUUUUUUUUUUUUUUUUUUUUUUAAUUAUGUUAUAGCAGUUUAUUUCUUUCAUUCUUAGGUCCGGAAGUGAAAAAUUUGACUUUUCUACGCCAGAAGUUACAGCUAAUGUUCCUAAGACAAACCAGGCUUUCCUGAGUUCUGAUCUGGACAUUUCAGUUAUUGACUCUGACGUAGAAGGUAGAAAUACAAGCUCUCUUUUGGGGUAAAUAUGUAUUUCUCUAUGCCAAAAUUAAAAUGUCAUCAUUUAUGUUUUUCUUUUAUGGUGUUACAUUAUGUUGUUUACAUACUGAUAGCUAUUAAAACUGUUAAAUAUAAUAUUGUAGCUAUCAAAAAGAGGGGGAUGAAUUUGAUUUGUACCAAAUUUGGACGUUUUGCAUGAAAGAACUUGAAAAUAAAAGAUUUUUUU